AUAUUAUGGUGUGGGCAGCUUUCCAACAACCCCUUAUACCUCUCCCAAUAUUCAUAUAGAGACUCCCCAGACAUCUGUAGAAUGCCACUAAUUUCCUUACGAGAUGU